GUUAAAUAAAUGAGUUUCAAUAAAUGGAUCAAUAGUCUGUUUUCCCAAAACCUCAUUUCCCACAACAUCCUAGGAAUAACUCACAGAUAUGAAGGGCUGGCUUCCCAGUUGACAAGUUGCUCUCACAUACUUUUAUUGCAUUUUAUCUUUACAACAACCCUAUGGGAAAGCCAAAGCUGACAUUAGCCUCAUUUUGCAGAUAAUUGUUAUCCCCAUUUUGCUGAUGAGAAAGUUGAGGCUGGGAGAAGGUCAUGACUUGCUCAAGGUCAUAGGCUGAGAAGGACAGAAGCCAGGGUUCCUUCCCCAGAGGCUUGUCAUUCACCCUGCACUGUUUCCAACUGAAUGGCCGGGCAAAGAGGUUCGACCACAAUAACAAUUUUAUCUCAAACAAUAGUUAGAGGAUUGCAUCUUGUACUCUUCUCCAAAACAUGCAAGUGUGCUAGAGGCUUUGAGUCACAAACCCUCUGAGCAGAGUGAUGAGGGAACAGGGGUGAGGGCGAGGGGCCUGGUCCCUUCCUGUCAGGGUGGUGUUGCACAAGCUUCUAGAGGGUGCAAGAAACCACAGGGAAGUUUGCCUACAGUCACAGUCACGGGACCGGUCUGGGGAGAGUGAGGGCAGUUCAGCCGUGUAGUUCGCCUGGCCCCGGCUUAGGGCUGCUCCCUCCACGAACCAUCCACAAAUAAGGACCUCACAAAGGCACCGCUGCCCGAGAGCUGAGGACCAGUAAUCAGGACACUUCGUUUAAAAAGUGUCCCCAGCCCUCUCUGGUUUCAGGGGAGGGCGGGGAGGGCUGCAGCGUCACCAGGUGACUGUUGCAGCAGCGCAUGGCGGGGGCGCGGGCCGGGAACCAGUCAGACCGGCCCUGAAACGCGGUCCUCGCUCCUUAGCCGCGACUUUGGACAGGCGAGUCUCCCUUUCCCGAGUCUGUUUCGUCGCCGGUAACGCAGUUUUUAAAGACGUUUACUUCGCAGAGUGAAUAUGACAUGAGUGUUCGGACGGAGCCGGGCACCGGGGCGCUCUCGGCAGGACCGCUCACUGUUACGGUCACUCGCCGCU
rnacentral:lncRNA from 1 species